UACGGGGGAGGCAAGCGUUGUUCGGAUUUACUGGGCGUAAAGGGCUCGUAGGCGGUCCGUCACGUCGGGAGUGAAAACUCAGGGCUCAACCCUGAGCGUGCUUCCGAUACGGGCGGACUAGAGGUAUGCAGGGGAGAACGGAAUUCCUGGUGUAGCGGUGGAAUGCGCAGAUAUCAGGAGGAACACCGGUGGCGAAGGCGGUUCUCUGGGCAUUACCUGACGCUGAGGAGCGAAAGCAUGGGGAGCGAACAGG
rnacentral:rRNA from 1 species